UAGUGGAGUGAUCUGUCUGGUUAAUUCCGAUAACGAACGAGAUCCAAACCAUCUAAAUAGUCCUACCAAUUUCAUUGAAUUGGUUCAUAGUACUUCUUAGAGGGACUACCGGGAAUUAAAUACCCGGGGGAAGGUUGGGCUAUAACA
rnacentral:rRNA from 1 species